rnacentral:rRNA from 1 species
GUGUCAGCCGCCGCGGUAAGACGGAGGAUGCAAGUGUUAUCCGGAAUUACUGGGCGUAAAGCGUCUGUAGGUGGUUGAAUAAGUCAACUGUUAAAUCUUGAGGCUCAACUUCAAAAUCGCAGUCGAAACUGUUUGACUAGAGUAUAGUAGGGGUAAAGGGAAUUUCCAGUGGAGCGGUGAAAUGCGUAGAUAUUGGAAAGAACACCGAUGGCGAAGGCACUUUACUGGGCUAUUACUGACACUCAGAGACGAAAGCUAGGGUAGCAAAUGGGAUUAGAUACCCCAGUAGUCCUAGCUGUAAACAAUGGAUACUAGAUGUUGAACAGAUCGACCUGUGCAGUAUUAAAGCUAACGCGUUAAGUAUCCCGCCUGGGAAGUAUGCUCGCAAGAGUGAAACUCAAAGGAAUUGACGG